UCAAUGCUUUGUGACGCCGAAGACACAAAUCGAAACGCGCCGUAUCACCAACAGUUCAUUUAAUUGUCUGAGAAGCUUAAUGGCGCUAUGGAUAGACGGCAUCAAGUCAAAAGUCAAAUAAACAAGCUAUAUUUGGUAGAAGCGGUUUCGCAGGCGCCCCCCCAAAAAAGACCACUUUCACGGGGGAAAACAACAUCGCAUUGCCUGGGUAGAUUUCUCAGCACCGCGCUUUAGCGAUCACAGACGGUAGUUCAAAAGCUUACGAAAUAGGAAACGUUUACUUUAAAAAAAUAAAUGCCAGCGAAUUCAUUAAUGACGGAAAAGGCUCAGACAACCCCUCUUCCUGCCCGCGGUCAGGCAAGGAAAGGGUUACGUCAUUCCUCGCUGGGCUUUAUCUAGCGGCUCAGUGCGCAUGGCCGCUGUGCGCGCUAUUGAUCGCAUUACAAAGAGCGCUGAUGAUGAAGAAAAACACACAUCCACCCAGUUCACGACAAGGGCAAAACUGAUCGCCGGAAUAGAAAGCUCGCACAGGAAACCAGUGCGGUAAACUUUCGAACUUAUAGCUCCGGGUGAGGGCGAGCGGCGCGCCGCGACUUCCAAGGCGAAGACUGUGUGGAUGGAAAACCGGGCGAGGUGCCGAUAAGGAAAACAUCGCAAGGCCCUGGAGGCCAUGCGCCUGCAUAUUUAAUGAAGAUUUAAAAUCAAACCUCGCAUCUAGUAGGAGCAGCUACUAUACGAGCUAUCAGCCUGAUGGUCAUCGCAUUUUCCGAAGGUGUAUAUUUCUCCAGCAGGGGUCGCUGCAACGUACAUUAAGAGGUCCCCGAAUGAUGCAGUACUUCAUAACAUCUUUGAAAGAAUACCCUGUUAUUGUUAUUCUUUUUUCACUUUGCUCGCCGGAUUAAGAUCCAUGUUUAACAGUGCGUGUAGCUCUACUUUACGAGCACCAAAAGGAACUGAAUUCAAUAAAAACACGUUUUUUUUUCCAGUUUC